rnacentral:rRNA from 1 species
GCCAGCCCGCUACAGAAACUUAAAUCAAGUUGACGGGGGCCCGCACAAGCGGUGGAGUAUGUGGUUUAAUUCGAUGCAACGCGAAGAACCUUACCUGGUCUUGACAUCCCGGAGACCCUUAGGAAACUAGGGGGUGCUUCCAUCUGGAAGAAUCUGGAGACAGGUGCUGCAUGGCUGUCGUCAGCUCGUGUCGUGAGAUGUUGGGUUAAGUCCCGCAACGAGCGCAACCCUUGCCUUUAGUUGCCAGCAGUUCGGCUGGGCACUCUAAAGGGACUGCCGGUGUUAAACCGGAGGAAGGUGGGGAUGACGUCAAGUCCUCAUGGCCUUUAUGACCAGGGCUACACACGUACUACAAUGGCCGAGUACAAAGGGCAGCGACACUGCGAGGUGAAGCCAAUCCCGUAAAAUCGGUCUCAGUCCGGAUUGGAGUCUGCAACUCGACUCCAUGAAGUUGGAAUCGCUAGUAAUCGUGGAUCAGCAUGCCACGGUGAAUACGGUUCCCGGGCCUU